rnacentral:rRNA from 1 species
AUUGAACGCUGGCGGCAUGCUUUACACAUGCAAGUCGAACGGUAACAGGCCGCAAGGUGCUGACGAGUGGCGGACGGGUGAGUAAUGCAUCGGAACGUGCCCAGUCGUGGGGGAUAACUACUCGAAAGAGUAGCUAAUACCGCAUACGAUCUAUGGAUGAAAGCGGGGGACCGUAAGGCCUCGCGCGAUUGGAGCGGCCGAUGUCAGAUUAGGUAGUUGGUGGGGUAAAGGCUCACCAAGCCAACGAUCUGUAGCUGGUCUGAGAGGACGACCAGCCACACUGGGACUGAGACACGGCCCAGACGCCUACGGGAGGCAGCAGUGGGGAAUUGUGGACAAUGGGCGCAAGCCUGAUCCAGCAAUGCCGCGUGCAGGAAGAAGGCCUUCGGGUUGUAAACUGCUUUUGUACGGAACGAAACGGCUCUGGUUAAUACCCGGGGCUAAUGACGGUACCGUAAGAAUAAGCACCGGCUAACUACGUG